AUACGGAGGAUCCGAGCGUUAUCCGGAUUUAUUGGGUUUAAAGGGUGCGCAGGCGGGAGAUUAAGUCGGCGGUGAAAUUUUGCAGCUCAACUGUAAAAGGGCCUUUGAAACUGGUUUCCUUGAGUGUAGAUGAAGUAGGCGGAAUUUUUGGUUUAGCGGUGAAAUGCAUAGAUAUCACGAAGAACUCCGAAUGUGCAGGCAUCUCACUGAACUACUACUGACGCUCAGGCACGAAGGCGUGGGGAUCAAACAGGAUUAGAUACCCUUGUAAUACACGCGGUAGACGAUUAUUACUAGCUGUUUUCGAUACACUGUAAGCGGCUGAGCGAAAGCGUUAAGUAAUCCACCUGGGCAGUCCGUUCGCAAGAAUGAAGCUCAAAGGAAUUGACGGGU
rnacentral:rRNA from 1 species